rnacentral:rRNA from 2 species
UACGGAGGGUGCAAGCGUUAAUCGGAAUCACUGGGCGUAAAGCGCGCGUAGGCGGUGAUGAAAGUCAGUGGUGAAAGCCCUCAGCUUAACUGGGGAAUUGCCAUUGAAACUGCAUUGCUUGAGUAUGUGAGAGGAUAGUGGAAUUCCUGGUGUAGGAGUGAAAUCCGUAGAUAUCAGGAGGAACAUCAGUGGCGAAGGCGACUAUCUGGCACAUUACUGACGCUGAGGUGCGAAAGCGUGGGGAGCAAACAGG